rnacentral:rRNA from 1 species
AGUGAACGCUGGCGGUAGGCCUAACACAUGCAAGUCGAACGGCAGCACAGUAAGAGCUUGCUCUUACGGGUGGCGAGUGGAGGACGGGUGAGGAAUACAUCGGAAUCUACUUUUUCGUGGGGGAUAACGUAGGGAAACUUACGCUAAUACCGCAUACGACCUACGGGUGAAAGCAGGGGAUCUUCGGACCUUGCGCGAUUGAAUGAGCCGAUGUCGGAUUAGCUAGUUGGCGGGGUAAAGGCCCACCAAGGCGACGAUCCGUAGCUGGUCUGAGAGGAUGAUCAGCCACACUGGAACUGAGACACGGUCCAGACUCCUACGGGAGGCAGCAGUGGGGAAUAUUGGACAAUGGGCGCAAGCCUGAUCCAGCCAUACCGCGUGGGUGAAGAAGGCCUUCGGGUUGUAAAGCCCUUUUGUUGGGAAAGAAAAGCAGCAGGUUAAUAACCCGCUGUUCUGACGGUACCCAAAGAAUAAGGACCGGCUAACUUCGUG